rnacentral:rRNA from 1 species
CUCGGGAGGCAGCAGUGGGGAAUCUUAGACAAUGGGGGCAACCCUGAUCUAGCCAUGCCGCGUGAGUGAUGAAGGCCUUAGGGUCGUAAAGCUCUUUCGCCUGUGAUGAUAAUGACAGUAGCAGGUAAAGAAACCCCGGCUAACUCCGUGCCAGCAGCCGCGGUAAUACGGAGGGGGUUAGCGUUGUUCGGAAUUACUGGGCGUAAAGCGCGCGUAGGCGGAUUAGAAAGUUGGGGGUGAAAUCCCGGGGCUCAACCCCGGAACUGCCUCCAAAACUGCUAGUCUAGUGUUCGAGAGAGGUGAGUGGAAUUCCGAGUGUAGAGGUGAAAUUCGUAGGUAUUCGGAGGAACACCAGUGGCGAAGGCGGCUCACUGGCUCGAUACUGACGCUGAGGUGCGAAAGUGUGGGGAGCAAACAGGAUUAGAUACCCUGGUAGUCCACACCGUAAACGAUGAAUGCCAGUCGUCGGGUAGUAUACUAUUCGGUGACACACCUAACGGAUUAAGCAUUCCGCCUGGGGAGUACGGUCGCAAGAUUAAAACUCAAAUGAAUUGACGG